CAGCUACUCGGGAGAUUGGGGCAGGAGAAUGGCGUGAACCUGGGAGGCAGAGCUUGCAGUGAGCCGAGAUCACACCACUGCACUCCAGCCUGGGCAACAGAGUGAGACUUCGUCUCAACAACAACAACAAAAAAAUUAAAAAAAGAGAAAAAUUUAAAUAAUUUGUGAUGCUGAGGUUUGGAGUACGAUUGAUCCUGUCACCCAGGUACUGAGCAUAGUACCCAAUAGGCAGUUUUUCAACCCCCUUUCUUCCCCCCCAUCUAGUAGUCUCCAGUGUCUAUGGUUGCCAUCUUUAUUUUUUAUUGUUAUUAUUUUUCGAGACAGAGUCUUGUUUUGUCGCCCAGGCUGCAGUGCAGUGGUGCAAUCUCAGCUCCUCCGCCUCCCGGGUUCAAGCAAUUCUGCUGCCUCAGCCUUCCGAG
rnacentral:lncRNA from 1 species